rnacentral:rRNA from 1 species
GAUGAACGCUGGCGGCGUGCCUAAUACAUGCAAGUCGAGCGAAUGGAUUAAGAGCUUGCUCUUAUGAAGUUAGCGGCGGACGGGUGAGUAACACGUGGGUAACCUGCCCAUAAGACUGGGAUAACUCCGGGAAACCGGGGCUAAUACCGGAUAACAUUUUGAACCGCAUGGUUCGAAAUUGAAAGGCGGCUUCGGCUGUCACUUAUGGAUGGACCCGCGUCGCAUUAGCUAGUUGGUGAGGUAACGGCUCACCAAGGCAACGAUGCGUAGCCGACCUGGGAGGGUGAUCGGCCACACGGGGACUGAGAAACGGCCCAGACUCCUACGGGAGGCAGCAGUAGGGACUCUUCCGCAAUGGACGAAAGUCUGACGGAGCAACGCCGCGUGAGUGAUGAAGGCUUUCGGGUCGUAAAACUCUGUUGUUAGGGAAGAACAAGUGCUAGUUGAAUAAGCUGGCACCUUGACGGUACCUAACCAGAAAGCCACGGCUAACUACGUGCCAGCCGCCGCCGUAA